rnacentral:rRNA from 1 species
AUUGAACGCUGGCGGUAUGCUUAACACAUGCAAGUCGAACGGUAACAGGCCUUCGGGCGCUGACGAGUGGCGGACGGGUGCGUAACGCGUAGGAAUCUGCCUAUUAGUGGGGGACAACUUGGGGAAGCUCAAGCUAAUACCGCAUACGCCCUACGGGAGAACGGAGGGGAUCUUCGGACCUUUCGCUAAUAGAUGAGCCGGCGUUGGAUUAGCUAGAUGGUAGGGUAAAGGCCUACCAAGGCGACGAUCCAUAGCUGGUCUGAGAGGACGAUCAGCCACACUGGGACUGAGACACGGCCCAGACUCCUACGGGAGGCAGCAGUGGGGAAUAUUGGACAAUGGGCGCAAGCCUGAUCCAGCAAUACCGCGUGUGUGAAGAAGGCCUGAGGGUUGUAAAGCACUUUUAAUCGGGAGGAACACCUGUCAGCGAAUACCUGGCAGUAUGACAUUACCGAUAGAAAAAGCACCGGCUAACUCCGUGCCAGCCGCCGCGGUAAAAC